GCCUAGUUAGCUUAGUUGGUAGUGCGUCUGCCUUACAAGCGCUAGGCCGCGGGUUCGAUUCCCGCCCGGGGCG
rnacentral:tRNA from 1 species